GGUUAAGCGACUAAGCGUACACGGUGGAUGCCCUGGCAGUCAGAGGCGAUGAAGGACGUGCUAAUCUGCGAUAAGCGUCGGUGAGGUGAUAUGAACCGUUAUAACCGGCGAUUUCCGAAUGGGGAAACCCAGUGUGUUUCGACACACUAUCAUUAACUGAAUCCAUAGGUUAAUGAGGCGAACCGGGGGAACUGAAACAUCUAAGUACCCCGAGGAAAAGAAAUCAACCGAGAUUCCCCCAGUAGCGGCGAGCGAACGGGGAGGAGCCCAGAGCCUGAAUCAGUGUGUGUGUUAGUGGAAGCGUCUGGAAAGGCGCGCGAUACAGGGUGACAGCCCCGUACACAAAAAUGCACAUACUGUGAGCUCGAUGAGUAGGGCGGGACACGUGGUAUCCUGUCUGAAUAUGGGGGGACCAUCCUCCAAGGCUAAAUACUCCUGACUGACCGAUAGUGAACCAGUACCGUGAGGGAAAGGCGAAAAGAACCCCGGCGAGGGGAGUGAAAAAGAACCUGAAACCGUGUACGUACAAGCAGUGGGAGCCUCUUAAUGGGGUGACUGCGUACCUUUUGUAUAAUGGGUCAGCGACUUAUAUUCUGUAGCAAGGUUAACCGAAUAGGGGAGCCGAAGGGAAACCGAGUCUUAACUGGGCGUUAAGUUGCAGGGUAUAGACCCGAAACCCGGUGAUCUAGCCAUGGGCAGGUUGAAGGUUGGGUAACACUAACUGGAGGACCGAACCGACUAAUGUUGAAAAAUUAGCGGAUGACUUGUGGCUGGGGGUGAAAGGCCAAUCAAACCGGGAGAUAGCUGGUUCUCCCCGAAAGCUAUUUAGGUAGCGCCUCGUGAAUUCAUCUCCGGGGGUAGAGCACUGUUUCGGCAAGGGGGUCAUCCCGACUUACCAACCCGAUGCAAACUGCGAAUACCGGAGAAUGUUAUCACGGGAGACACACGGCGGGUGCUAACGUCCGUCGUGAAGAGGGAAACAACCCAGACCGCCAGCUAAGGUCCCAAAGUCAUGGUUAAGUGGGAAACGAUGUGGGAAGGCCCAGACAGCCAGGAUGUUGGCUUAGAAGCAGCCAUCAUUUAAAGAAAGCGUAAUAGCUCACUGGUCGAGUCGGCCUGCGCGGAAGAUGUAACGGGGCUAAACCAUGCACCGAAGCUGCGGCAGCGACACUAUGUGUUGUUGGGUAGGGGAGCGUUCUGUAAGCCUGUGAAGGUGUGCUGUGAGGCAUGCUGGAGGUAUCAGAAGUGCGAAUGCUGACAUAAGUAACGAUAAAGCGGGUGAAAAGCCCGCUCGCCGGAAGACCAAGGGUUCCUGUCCAACGUUAAUCGGGGCAGGGUGAGUCGACCCCUAAGGCGAGGCCGAAAGGCGUAGUCGAUGGGAAACAGGUUAAUAUUCCUGUACUUGGUGUUACUGCGAAGGGGGGACGGAGAAGGCUAUGUUGGCCGGGCGACGGUUGUCCCGGUUUAAGCGUGUAGGCUGGUUUUCCAGGCAAAUCCGGAAAACCAAGGCUGAGGCGUGAUGACGAGGCACUACGGUGCUGAAGCGACAAAUGCCCUGCUUCCAGGAAAAGCCUCUAAGCAUCAGGUAACAUUAAAUCGUACCCCAAACCGACACAGGUGGUCAGGUAGAGAAUACCAAGGCGCUUGAGAGAACUCGGGUGAAGGAACUAGGCAAAAUGGUGCCGUAACUUCGGGAGAAGGCACGCUGAUAUGUAGGUGAAGCGACUUGCUCGUGGAGCUGAAAUCAGUCGAAGAUACCAGCUGGCUGCAACUGUUUAUUAAAAACACAGCACUGUGCAAACACGAAAGUGGACGUAUACGGUGUGACGCCUGCCCGGUGCCGGAAGGUUAAUUGAUGGGGUUAGCGGUAACGCGAAGCUCUUGAUCGAAGCCCCGGUAAACGGCGGCCGUAACUAUAACGGUCCUAAGGUAGCGAAAUUCCUUGUCGGGUAAGUUCCGACCUGCACGAAUGGCGUAAUGAUGGCCAGGCUGUCUCCACCCGAGACUCAGUGAAAUUGAACUCGCUGUGAAGAUGCAGUGUACCCGCGGCAAGACGGAAAGACCCCGUGAACCUUUACUAUAGCUUGACACUGAACAUUGAGCCUUGAUGUGUAGGAUAGGUGGGAGGCUUUGAAGUGUGGACGCCAGUCUGCAUGGAGCCGACCUUGAAAUACCACCCUUUAAUGUUUGAUGUUCUAACGUUGGCCCGUAAUCCGGGUUGCGGACAGUGUCUGGUGGGUAGUUUGACUGGGGCGGUCUCCUCCUAAAGAGUAACGGAGGAGCACGAAGGUUGGCUAAUCCUGGUCGGACAUCAGGAGGUUAGUGCAAUGGCAUAAGCCAGCUUGACUGCGAGCGUGACGGCGCGAGCAGGUGCGAAAGCAGGUCAUAGUGAUCCGGUGGUUCUGAAUGGAAGGGCCAUCGCUCAACGGAUAAAAGGUACUCCGGGGAUAACAGGCUGAUACCGCCCAAGAGUUCAUAUCGACGGCGGUGUUUGGCACCUCGAUGUCGGCUCAUCACAUCCUGGGGCUGAAGUAGGUCCCAAGGGUAUGGCUGUUCGCCAUUUAAAGUGGUACGCGAGCUGGGUUUAGAACGUCGUGAGACAGUUCGGUCCCUAUCUGCCGUGGGCGCUGGAGAACUGAGGGGGGCUGCUCCUAGUACGAGAGGACCGGAGUGGACGCAUCACUGGUGUUCGGGUUGUCAUGCCAAUGGCACUGCCCGGUAGCUAAAUGCGGAAGAGAUAAGUGCUGAAAGCAUCUAAGCACGAAACUUGCCCCGAGAUGAGUUCUCCCUGACUCCUUGAGGGUCCUGAAGGAACGUUGAAGACGACGACGUUGAUAGGCCGGGUGUGUAAGCGCAGCGAUGCGUUGAGCUAACCGGUACUAAUGAACCGUGAGGCUUAACCUUACAACGCCGAAG
rnacentral:rRNA from 1 species